rnacentral:rRNA from 1 species
ACACAUGCAAGUCGAACGAGCGAGAGAGAGCUUGCUUUCUCGAGCGAGUGGCGAACGGGUGAGUAACGCGUGAGGAACCUGCCUCAAAGAGGGGGACAACAGUUGGAAACGACUGCUAAUACCGCAUAAGCCCACGGUGCCGCAUGGCACAGAGGGAAAAGGAGUAAUCCGCUUUGAGAUGGCCUCGCGUCCGAUUAGCUAGUUGGUGAGGUAACGGCCCACCAAGGCGACGAUCGGUAGCCGGACUGAGAGGUUGAACGGCCACAUUGGGACUGAGACACGGCCCAGACUCCUACGGGAGGCAGCAGUGGGGAAUAUUGCACAAUGGGGGAAACCCUGAUGCAGCGACGCCGCGUGGAGGAAGAAGGUCUUCGGAUUGUAAACUCCUGUUGUUGGGGAAGAUAAUGACGGUACCCAACAAGGAAGUGACGGCUAACUACGUGCCAGCAGCCGCGGUAAAACGUAGGUCACAAGCGUUGUCCGGAAUUACUGGGUGUAAAGGGAGCGCAGGCGGGAAGACAAGUUGGAAGUGAAAUCUAUGGGCUCAACCCAUAAACUGCUUUCAAAACUGUUUUUCUUGAGUAGUGCAGAGGUAGGCGGAAUUCCCGGUGUAGCGGUGGAAUGCGUAGAUAUCGGGAGGAACACCAGUGGCGAAGGCGGCCUACUGGGCACCAACUGACGCUGAGGCUCGAAAGUGUGGGUAGCAAACAGGAUUAGAUACCCUGGUAGUCCACACCGUAAACGAUGAUUACUAGGUGUUGGAGGAUUGACCCCUUCAGUGCCGCAGUUAACACAAUAAGUAAUCCACCUGGGGAGUACGACCGCAAGGUUGAAACUCAAAGGAAUUGACGGGGGCCCGCACA